AGAACGUUUAGUUCUGUAAAAGAGUUGGAUCCGAUGCCCCUGGAAGGCUACUAUAGGCUCUCCUUCUCUACUCCUACUCAAUACGUCCACGACGUGCAGAACGGUAACUUGUCGCCUAGGUAUCCAAGCUUGGGUACACGGGGAAACCCAACCCCUUGGGCGGACGGACGGCAAGGCUGAAUUGAGAGGU
rnacentral:ribozyme from 1 species